CUGUCCUGCUAACUAGCUCAAUAGCAUCAGUUGCCUUGUGUAACUAAAGCUGUUGCAAACUUCUUAGAGGGAUUCGCGAUAAUAAAAUCGCACGAAAUAGAGCAAUAACAGGUCUGUGAUGCCCUUAGAUGUCCGGGGCCGCACGCGCGCUACAUUGACAGUAACAACAAGUAUUUCUACCUGGUCUGAAAAGACUGGGAAAUCUUUGAAUUACUGUCUCCACAGGGAUUGAGGUUUGCAAUUAUCCCUCAUGAACGAGGAAUUCCCAGUAGGCGCAAGUCAUCAGCUUGCGUCGAUUACGUCCCUGCCCUUUGUA
rnacentral:rRNA from 1 species